GAUGAACGCUGGCGGCGUGCUUUACACAUGCGAGUCGUACGAGAAACCCCGGCUUGCCGGGGAAGUAAAGUGGCGCACGGGUGAGUAACGCGUGGGUAAUCUACCCUUGAACUGGGGAUAACACACCGAAAGGUGUGCUAAUACCGAAUAAGACCACGACCUCCACGGGGGUUGCGGUCAAAGAUGGCCUCUGCUUGCAAGCUGUCAUUUGAGGAUGAGCCCGCGUACCAUUAGCUUGUUGGUGGGGUAAUGGCCUACCAAGGCAACGAUGGUUAGCUGGUCUGAGAGGAUGGCCAGCCACACUGGAACUGGAACACGGUCCAGACUCCUACGGGAGGCAGCAGUGAGGGAUUUUGCGCAAUGGGGGAAACCCUGACGCAGCAACGCCGCGUGAGUGAAGAAGGCCUUCGGGUUGUAAAGCUCUGUCAAGUGGGAAGAAUCUUUUUCGGUUGAACAGGCCGAGAAACUGACGGUACCSCYGAGAGGAAGCACCGGSUAACUCCGUGCMAGCAGCCGSGGUAAUACAUAGGGUGCGAGCGUUAAUCGGAAUUACKGGGCGUAARGCGUGCGCAGGCGGUAUUGCARGUCUGAUGUGAAAGCCCCGGGGCUUAACCUGGRAMCGGCAUKGRAMACUGCAAAACUAGAGUACGUCAGAGGGGGGUAGAAUYCCACGUGUAGCAGUGAAAUGCGUAGAGAUGUGGAGGAAUACCGAUGGCGAARGCAGCCCCCUGGGAUGAUACUGACGCUCAUGCACGAAAGCGUGGGGGAGCAAACARGAUUAGAUACCCUGGUAGUCCACGCCCUAAACGAUGUCAAUUAGCUGUUGGGGGKUUGAAUCCYUGGUAGCGAAGCUWACSCGUGAAAUUGWMCGCCUGGGGAGUACGGCCGCAAGGUUAAAACUCAAAGGAAUUGACGGGGACCCGCACAAGCGGUGGAUGAUGUGGAUUAAUUCGAUGCAACGCGAAAAACCUUACCUGCUCUUGACAUGUACCGAACCCUUGAGAGAUUGAGGGGUGCCCGAAAGGGAGCGGUAACACAGGUGCUGCAUGGCUGUCGUCAGCUCGUGUCGUGAGAUGUUGGGUUAAGUCCCGCAACGAGCGCAACCCUUGUCAUUAGUUGCCAUCAUUAAGUUGGGCACUCUAAUGAGACUGCCGGUGACAAACCGGAGGAAGGUGGGGAUGACGUCAAGUCCUCAUGGCCCUUAUGAGCAGGGCUUCACACGUCAUACAAUGGUCGGUACAGAGGGUCGCCAAACCGCGAGGUGGAGCUAAUCUCAUAAAACCGAUCGUAGUCCGGAUCGUACUCUGCAACUCGAGUACG
rnacentral:rRNA from 1 species